GAUGAACGCUGGCGGCGUGCCUAAUACAUGCGAGUCGAGCGAACAGACGAGGAGCUUGCUCCUCUGACGUUAGCGGCGGACGGGUGAGUAACACGUGGAUAACCUACCUAUAAGACUGGGAUAACUUCGGGAAACCGGAGCUAAUACCGGAUAAUAUAUUGAACCGCAUGGUUCAAUAGUGAAAGACGGUUUUGCUGUCACUUAUAGAUGGAUCCGCGCCGCAUUAGCUAGUUGGUAAGGUAACGGCUUACCAAGGCGACGAUGCGUAGCCGACCUGAGAGGGUGAUCGGCCACACUGGAACUGAGACACGGUCCAGACUCCUACGGGAGGCAGCAGUAGGGAAUCUUCCGCAAUGGGCGAAAGCCUGACGGAGCAACGCCGCGUGAGUGAUGAAGGUCUUCGGAUCGUAAAACUCUGUUAUUAGGGAAGAACAAAUGUGUAAGUAACUAUGCACGUCUUGACGGUACCGAAUCAGAAAGCCACGGCUAACUACG
rnacentral:rRNA from 1 species